ACGGAAGGCAGCAGUGGGGAAUAUUGCACAAUGGGGGAAACCCUGAUGCAGCGACGCCGCGUGAGUGAAGAAGUAUUUCGGUAUGUAAAGCUCUAUCAGCAGGAAAGAAAAUGACGGUACCUGACUAAGAAGCCCCGGCUAACUACGUGCCAGCAGCCGCGGUAAUACGUAGGGGGCAAGCGUUAUCCGGAUUUACUGGGUGUAAAGGGAGCGUAGACGGCUUUGCAAGUCUGAAGUGAAAGCCCGGGGCUCAACCCCGGAACUGCUUUGGAAACUGUAGAGCUAGAGUGCAGGAGAGGUAAGUGGAAUUCCUAGUGUAGCGGUGAAAUGCGUAGAUAUUAGGAGGAACACCGGUGGCGAAGGCGGCCAACUGGGCUUUUACCGACGCUGAGGCUCGAAAGCGUGGGGAGCAAACAGGAUUAGAUACCCUGGUA
rnacentral:rRNA from 1 species